rnacentral:rRNA from 2 species
AAGAGCUCAUCAUUGGAAUCUGGCAGUGUUGCACUGUCCGAGUUGUAGAUGAGGAGUAGUCCGUCUGGACUGCAUGGCGUCCAAGUACAAUAGGCCGUCAGUGGGACAUCAUAGAGGGUGACAAUCCCGUCCUUGACGCCAAUGUGCAAGUCUAUUACGAUGGCUAUCUCAGAGAGUCGAGCAGUUUGGGAUUUGCUGCUUAAACAUGGGAGGUAGAUUCCUUCUAAAGCUAAAUACAGGCGAGAGACCGAUAGAGAACAAGUACCGCAAGGGAAAGAUGAAAUAGCACUCUGUGAAGGGAGUCAAAAGGCGUGAAAUUGUUGCGAGAGAAGCGAUUCAAGUCAGCGUAGCUAGGCCCAUCAAGCGUCUUCGCUUUGGACUAGCUUUGCCAGCGGUCUUGUCCCUUCAAGAGACUUGACUUGUAAUAUGUCCAGCCUGGCGUGCACAGGCAGCCCCUUCUGGGGGCCAGUGGCAUGGCUGGUGGAAUGGCUUGCAAUCGACCCGUCUUGAAACACGGACCAAGGAGUCUAACAUGUAUGCGAGUAUAAGGGUGGCAAACCCGUAUGCGCAAUGAAAGUGAUUUUCGGUGAUUGAGAAUGGCCUGAUGACCAGACAAGCAAUAUAUGUCCCUCGUACGGCCAUUGCCCAAGUUCCGUGG